rnacentral:rRNA from 1 species
CUACGGGAGGCAGCAGUGAGGAAUAUUGGUCAAUGGAGGCAACUCUGAACCAGCCAUGCCGCGUGAAGGAAGAAUGUCCUAUGGAUUGUAAACUUCUUUUAUUUGGGAAGAAACCCCCGCUCGUGAGCGGGGCUGACGGUACCAAACGAAUAAGGACCGGCUAACUCCGUGCCAGCAGCCGCGGUAAUACGGAGGGUCCAAGCGUUAUCCGGAAUCAUUGGGUUUAAAGGGUUCGCAGGCGGUUUAAUAAGUCAGUGGUGAAAUCUCUCGGCUCAACCGAGAAACUGCCAUUGAUACUGUUAGACUUGAAUAUAGUUGGAGUAGGCGGAAUGUGUAGUGUAGCGGUGAAAUGCUUAGAUAUUACACAGAACACCGAUAGCGAAGGCAGCUUACUAAACUAUUAUUGACGCUCAUGAACGAAAGCGUGGGGAGCGAACAGGAUUAGAUACCCUCGUAGUC